rnacentral:misc_RNA from 1 species
UGCCUCCCCGCUCUGCCUGCCUGGAGAGCCGGGACGGCCGGGACUACCUCCCCUCGGUUUGCGAGUAGCAUCGCCCAUGGUCCUAGAGGUGGACAUUUUCGUAUGGCUUUUACUCUGUUUGUACUUGAUUUUGCUGUACUUUGCGUUUUUCCGUUGUAUCAUUUGUACUACGUUGAUUGUCGUAAACGACCAAUUUGAAAUGUAUCGCGUGAUUAUUUGCUAGUUUGAAUAUUCGAUGGCUCAUUGUUCGUUGGCGUAUUGUUAGAAGGCAAUUUCUGCAAUACUUCUCAGUACUCGUUUGUUGUGUGACGUGCCACCCGGCUCUAUGCCCGGCCAUGAUUCCGGAUCAUUCGCGCUGAUGGCGGCAGAGGCGGUCGUGUCGUGUCUGUGUUUGCGCGAGCGAUGAUAUGGCGUCGGAGAUGUGAGGCUGGCUUGGAAGGAUGCCUCUGGAUGUAUGGACGUUAGCCGCGAAGCGACCCAGAAGGCACAUUUGUCGCAACGACUGUUACUCUCGAGAUCGUGUGGGCUAUCUACUCAGCUCACUCGGUCCAAUAAACGGUCCGUUAAGACAUACUGGAUUUCAACACGCUGGGUCUGGAGAUGCGGCUACAGUUGCGACAAGUGUCGACAACGGCGACGAGCUGCCCACGGCAGAGUAGCGACUUCUGCAGCUACGCGUGAAGGCAGCUCGACCACCCACCGGGAGGACCUCGCAGCACGCUCACACCGGCUGGUGGCUCUGCUGGCCUCGUGAGGCGGCUGGUUUGCUGCUGCUGGCUGGUGCUGGUGAGGACUGAGUCGCCCCUGCUCAUCAAUAUGGCGUCGGAGAUGUGAGGCUGGCUUGGAAGGAUGCCUCUGGAUGUAUGGACGUUAGCCGCGAAGCGACCCAGAAGGCACAUUUGUCGCAACGACUGUUACUCUCGAGAUCGUGUGGGCUAUCUACUCAGCUCACUCGGUCCAAUAAACGGUCCGUUAAGACAUACUGGAUUUCAACACGCUGGGUCUGGAGAUG